AUGUUAAAAAUACACUUAGUGCAGCUAAAACAAAUUAUUUUCUUUCUGCUCCGCCCUCUCAGGGCCCCCAAGGACCACAGGGACGCAAUGGAGAGCCAGGACACAAGGGACCAACAGGCCCCCCAGGAAAGGAUGGAUUGCCGGGUCAUCCAGGCCAGCGUGGGGAGCCAGGAUUCCAAGGAAAAACAGGAGCCCCGGGCCCCGCUGGAGUGGUCGGACCACAGGGCAAAACUGGAGAAACUGGACCAACAGGAGACAGAGGCCACCCUGGAUCACCUGGGCCUCCUGGAGAGCAAGGUUUGCCUGGAUCUGCAGGCAAAGAAGGUGGCAAGGGCGAUCCGGGCCCUAUAGGGACCGUGGGGAAGAGCGGCCCGGCCGGGCGCCGCGGAUUCAGAGGAAACCGAGGGAUGCCGGGCGCCAUGGGUGCUGCCGGACUAAAAGGUGAAGAAGGACCUUCUGGAGCUGCGGGAGCAAUCGUAAGUAUCUUUAGGAAUACUGUUAGAAAGACCUGAACCUCAACUUAUUGGCAAAACUUU
rnacentral:lncRNA from 1 species